UACUCAUUAUGGGCCAGGUACAGAGAUGA
rnacentral:piRNA from 1 species